GAUGAAGAACGUAGCGAAAUGCGAUAAGUAGUGUGAAUUGCAGAAUUCAGUGAGUCAUCGAAUCUUUGAACGCACAUUGCGCCCCUUGGUAUCCCGAGGGGCAUGCCUGUUCGAGCGUCAUUUCACCACUCAAGCCUGGCUUGGUGUUGGGCGACGUCCCCUUUGGGGACGCGCCUUGAAACGCUCGGCGGCGUGGCACCGGCUUUAAGCGUAGCAGAAUCUUUCGCUUUGGAAGUCGGGGCCCCGUCUGCCGGAAGACCUACUCGCAAGGUUGACCUCGGAUCAGGCAGGGAUACCCGCUGAACUUAAGCAUAUCAAUAAGCGGAGGA
rnacentral:misc_RNA from 1 species